GGCUGUGCAGAAUGUUCUGUGUUGAAGGCGGUUGAGGAGUGUAGUACAUCCGAUCACCCUGCACGACAGUAGGUGAUUGCAUAUAGUUCCAGCCUGAGGUAGUUGUGCUGCUGUUCUGGAUAGGUGGAGGUAAGGCGUGUCUCCGUGUUGUAUUUCUCUGGUUACUACAAGGCAUUAAAGAUAAUUAAGCAGAAAAAGUGUUAAAAUGGAGUAGUUUUUUCUUACUGUCGGAAGAAAGCAAUAAAGUGAAGUAAAUGCAGUGAUGAUACCUUAAGAGUUGGAAGUCUAGUGUGGCCUUGUACUGUGAUGGUAUUUCCAUUAGUGCCGCGAGUGCAAAUUCUGUUUCUUUCUGGGAGAGGGGCACAUUUUUUGACAUAAUCUCUGUGAAAUUCACAAACUGCAAAACAGAGGAGCAACAAAGUCACUUCUAUGUAAAUUGAACCAAAAUUAUCAAGGACUCUAUUACGACUAAAAUUCGUGACCUGGAAAUUGUCAAAGGCUCUGGCAGGAAUGUUGUCAUCAAACUGCACCAUCACAUCCCAGGGUCCAUCUCCAACGCCAACCAGUAUAAUGGACAACGGGUAUUUGCUACAAGUAAUUGAAGACGUAACUAGCUUUUUUUUAAUCUUCUGCAGAGUUUUGCAGGGUAUAUGUAGUACUCACCUUGCUUCGACAAUGGCAGCAAUUGUGCUUUGUUCUUGAGGGCUUAGCUGGCCAGGAUUUGUAUCAACGCUUCUCGUCACCUACCAUGUCACAUCGAAUACUUACUGUCAGGCUUAGCAAGAAAAGAGAUAACAGAAGGGAAUUAAAAGAAGACUGCGGCACAUAAAGCAAUUGGAAGUUUGCCUACACCUGUCCAUCAGCGAUGAUUAGAAGAACAUGGUAUUGUCCUCCAGUUUCAUUGACAAUCCCUAUAGCAGUUUCAAUUAUUGGAGCAAAGGAUGUUGGUCCUGUGAAAAAUGCAAACAAUUAGGUGAUUGCAUAUAGUUCCAGCCUGAGGUAGUUGUGCUGCUGUUCUGGAUAGGUGGAGGUAAGGCGUGUCUCCGUGUUGUAUUUCUCUGGUUACUACAAGGCAUUAAAGAUAAUUAAGCAGAAAAAGUGUUAAAAUGGAGUAGUUUUUUCUUACUGUCGGAAGAAAGCAAUAAAGUGAAGUAAAUGCAGUGAUGAUACC
rnacentral:lncRNA from 1 species